AGGCCAACGCUAAAACUAAACACGACAUAACUCUCAUUUACCUGUGGAAAGAGGAAAAAAUCUCAGAUCUGGUUUCCAAAAGAUGGUUUUUUCAAGGAUUUCAUCAACACUCCUAAGAAGGAGAAACCCAUUUACAUCAAAACCCAUAUCUUCCUUUUCUUCCAUAAGCUCGAUUUCAUCAUCCCCUUCAAACAAUUUUAACCUAACCACCAUCUCAAAAUUCCACCCCCAAAUCUUUUCAAACCCUAGAACUACCGACUUUUUCCAAAUCAGACAAUAUAGUGCCGAAACCCCAAGCCUAAUCGCCCAGGGAAAAAAGAAGCAAAGAAAAGUCCUGAUCCGAAAAAAAUAAAAUUGGCUCAAUAUAAACGCAAAGUCAUUUUAGCCUAUGAAGCUAUAGACAAGGUUAAAGAGGUGAAAAGCAAUUGCUUGUUAUGGCCGUCUUUUAAGCAGGAAGCCGAACGUGCUAAUGAUGCUGUAAACAAUGCGUUGAAGAAAUUUAACGAGUUAAUGUCAGUAUUGGGCGAUGAUGAAAGAGACGAUUUUGAUAGGGCCGACAUUGAUGAAAUUAAACAUCUCCAACUGGAGAUAAUGACUGAUGGGCUGAUGUACUUCAAAGAGUCUCUUAAGCUAUGGAACAAGUCCGCUUCUCUUAAGCAGAAGCAGAAGGGAAGUGGAAGCACUGCGUGUUAGGAAAACCAACAUGGUUUUCGUUUCUCAGAGUGAACAAGCGCAUGACCAACAAACUACACAAACUUUCCUUGGCCGCCUGAUGCAUAUUUUAUCAUUCCUGAGGUAAGGUCAAGUGGAUUUUGGUUCAGCUUUUAGAUGUUUAUGAAGACUUCAGAAAUGUAUUUGUAAGCAUUUUUCAGACCAAUGCGACAUGUGUUUCGGUAGACAAGAUACUUUCCUGUAUGUUUUGGUUUCAAGAUACUAGUAAUUGUAGAAGUUUGCUUGGUUUAUAAAUUAUUGCAAAACCUGGGUCAAUCUGUUUGA